rnacentral:tRNA from 1 species
GGCAGUGUGGUGUAGUGGUUUGACCAUUGGACUAUGACACUGGAGCCCAGGGUUCAAAUCCCAGCUAGGCCA